rnacentral:rRNA from 1 species
UACGUAGGGUUCAAGCGUUAUCCGGAUUUAUUGGGCGUAAAGCACAUGUAGGUGGAUUGACGCGUCUCGGCUUAAAGCUCUGGGCUUAACCCAGAAUCUGGCUGAGAUACGGUCUUUCUUGUGGUCAGCAGGGGCAAACGGAAUUCCCGGUGUAGGAGUGAAAUCCGUUGAUAUCGGGAGGAACACCAAUGGCGAAGGCAGUUUGCUAGGCUGAUUCAGACACUGAGAUGUGAAAGCGUGGGGAGCGAACGGG